rnacentral:rRNA from 1 species
AUACGUAGGGUGCGAGCGAUGUCCGGAAUUACUGGGCGUAAAGAGCUCGUAGGUGGUUUGUCGCGUCGUCUGUGAAAUUCCGGGGCUUAACUCCGGGCGUGCAGGCGAUACGGGCAUAACUUGAGUACUGUAGGGGAGACUGGAAUUCCUGGUGUAGCGGCGAAAUGCGCAGAUAUCAGGAGGAACACCGGUGGCGAAGGCGGGUCUCUGGGCAGUAACUGACGCUGAGGAGCGAAAGCAUGGGUAGCGAACAGGAUUAGAUACCCUGGUAGUCCAUGCCGUAAACGGUGGGCGCUAGGUGUAGGGGUCUUCCACGACUUCUGUGCCGUAGCUAACGCAUUAAGCGCCCCGCCUGGGGAGUACGGCCGCAAGGCUAAAACUCAAAUGAAUUGACGGGG